AAAAGAGUAAAAAGAGGUCAUCUAUACGGAAAAGAAGAUCAAGAAAAAUCUGCAGAAGAAAAAAACAGAAAAAGGAGGAUAAAAAGUCUGUGUGAGACGCUCAGGAACAGAGACGGAGUCGGGAAGCUUCUUGCACUAUUCUGUAGCUGCCAGUUUCUAAGCUUUAAGCUGGGCCCUGCAACACAAAUGUUUUAUUUCUUCUGUUUGAGCAUCUUUUGCCACAUCUUAACUAAGUUUGCAUUCACCUUGGUGAGAUGCUCUUGAGCAAAGCAAAACCAAAGAGAACUGCAAACCACAUUUCUGCAUGAAAAUGAAGAAAAUGAAGACGCAUUCCCUAAUCCAAGAACUUUUGAGGGGCUCCCAGCAAGUACAAACUUUGGAGACCUUCUGCUUCGCCGCCCCCAUUUCACCUUCAUUCAUCUGGAGAACUCUUUCUGGAUCCCAAGCUUCAAUUGCUAUCUUCCUCCCACACCUCUGUCCCCAAACUACCCAUUUCC